UACGAAGGGGGCUAGCGUUGCUCGGAAUCACUGGGCGUAAAGGGUGCGUAGGCGGGUCUUUAAGUCAGGGGGGAAAUCCUGGAGCUCAACUCCAGAACUGCCUUUGAUACUGAAGAUCUUGAGUUCGGGAGAGGUGAGUGGAACUGCGAGUGUAGAGGUGAAAUUCGUAGAUAUUCGCAAGAACACCCGUGGCGAAGGCGGCUCUCUGGGACGGUACUGACGCUGAGACGCGAAAGCGUGGGGAGCGAACAGG
rnacentral:rRNA from 1 species